AACAAAGGCUUUUCACUGUACCUCGGUGCAUGUGACAAUAAACUAAACUGAACUGAGAAUGUCAGGAGGAGAACCUUUGGUGCUGCAGUGAAUUUGUUUUUUCUCAUCAAAAUGCGGCAUCUUGUGACUUGUGACUCCAUGAACAAAUAAAAGAAUGAUUGAGAAUUGCUUCAUAUUUCAUCUCCACAGGUGGUGAUUUCACGAGUCCAGCGGUCCACGCCUCAUUUCACUUUCCAGCUGGAUUCCAGUUCAGUAUUCCCUGAAGUACUGGUCGAGCAAUCCGGGUCGGAAAAUGGCUACAUCAUCAUCAUUACUGGGAAAAAGAUAAGCAAAUUGCCUUUAACAGCUGCAAGGUGUGGCCAUUUCUUGUCCUGCAGUAAGUGUUUAACAGCUCCGUCCUUCAUGGGCUGUGGCUGGUGUAGUGGAAGGUGUUCCCGAAAGCAGGAAUGCAUGACUCACAUGUUGAACAUCUGCCCUGCUAUUAUCAGAGAGAUCUCUCCGCUAACUGCCCCCUCAGAGGGUGGAACAAGGCUGAUCAUUUGUGGAAGGAAUUUUGAAACCAUGAAAAUCGGUAAAGUAAGUGCUAAAACGACGGCCAUAAUUGUCGGAACUGCUCCCUGCAAAUUGGAAGCAAACAGAAGCAACAGGAACAGACUUGUUUGCCUAUUGGAAGCACUUAACGUCACACAAGAUUAUAAUCCAGUCUACAUUCAUUUAACAUUGAACAGAAAUUUAACAACACAAGCCGUCGGCUUUUCUUUCGUGGUAAGAAAUGUGGUUUUCUAUUUUUGCAUUGU